GGGGUGGGGGGAGGGUCUCCCCACCUAGGGAUUGGCAACCCUGGACCAGUGUGAUUCCAUCCCUUCUGCCCAGCACGCUGCAGUCAUGAACACUCAGUAAAGCGCUACACUUCAAAAUACAAUAACAUCAAGAUGCCUUUUUUUGGGUAUACAAGUUCAUUGGUCAUAUGGAGGGGUGAGGAGACACAAAUGGACAAAAGGCAAGAUCAGACAGCAGAUGGCAGCAGCACCCUGGCUUAAAUGAGAAAAAAAAAUGGAAAAUGGGCCAUAAAUAACAUCCUUUGCUAUACAAGGAACGAGACUACUGGCUUACAGGAAGAAACUAAUGCAAACUUUUAAAUCAAA